rnacentral:rRNA from 1 species
UUAAGCGACUAAGCGUACACGGUGGAUGCCCUGGCAGUCAGAGGCGAUGAAGGACGUGCUAAUCUGCGAAAAGCGUCGGUAAGGUGAUAUGAACCGUUAUAACCGGCGAUGUCCGAAUGGGGAAACCCAGUGUGAUUCGUCACACUAUCGUUAACUGAAUACAUAGGUUAACGAGGCGAACCGGGGGAACUGAAACAUCUAAGUACCCCGAGGAAAAGAAAUCAACCGAGAUUCCCCCAGUAGCGGCGAGCGAACGGGGAGCAGCCCAGAGUCUGAAUCAGCUUGUGUGUUAGUGGAACGGUCUGGAAAGUCCGACGGUACAGGGUGAUAGUCCCGUACACCAAAAUGCACAGGCUGUGAACUCGAAGAGUAGGGCGGGACACGUGGUAUCCUGUCUGAAUAUGGGGGGACCAUCCUCCAAGGCUAAAUACUCCUGACUGACCGAUAGUGAACCAGUACCGUGAGGGAAAGGCGAAAAGAACCCCGGCGAGGGGAGUGAAAAAGAACCUGAAACCGUGUACGUACAAGCAGUGGGAGCACCUUCGGGUGUGACUGCGUACCUUUUGUAUAAUGGGUCAGCGACUUAUAUUCUGUAGCAAGGUUAACCGUAUAGGGGAGCCGCAGGGAAACCGAGUCUUAACUGGGCGUUAAGUUGCAGGGUAUAGACCCGAAACCCGGUGAUCUAGCCAUGGGCAGGUUGAAGGUUGGGUAACACUAACUGGAGGACCGAACCGACUAAUGUUGAAAAAUUAGCGGAUGACUUGUGGCUGGGGGUGAAAGGCCAAUCAAACCGGGAGAUAGCUGGUUCUCCCCGAAAGCUAUUUAGGUAGCGCCUCGUGAAUUCAUCUUCGGGGGUAGAGCACUGUUUCGGCUAGGGGGUCAUCCCGACUUACCAACCCGAUGCAAACUACGAAUACCGAAGAAUGUUAUCACGGGAGACACACGGCGGGUGCUAACGUCCGUCGUGAAGAGGGAAACAACCCAGACCGCCAGCUAAGGUCCCAAAGUCAUGGUUAAGUGGGAAACGAUGUGGGAAGGCACAGACAGCCAGGAUGUUGGCUUAGAAGCAGCCAUCAUUUAAAGAAAGCGUAAUAGCUCACUGGUCGAGUCGGCCUGCGCGGAAGAUGUAACGGGGCUAAACCAUGCACCGAAGCUGCGGCAGCGACACUAUGUGUUGUUGGGUAGGGGAGCGUUCUGUAAGCCUGCGAAGGUGUGCUGUGAGGCAUGCUGGAGGUAUCAGAAGUGCGAAUGCUGACAUAAGUAACGAUAAAGCGGGUGAAAAGCCCGCUCGCCGGAAGACCAAGGGUUCCUGUCCAACGUUAAUCGGGGCAGGGUGAGUCGACCCCUAAGGCGAGGCCGAAAGGCGUAGUCGAUGGGAAACAGGUUAAUAUUCCUGUACUUGGUGUUACUGCGAAGGGGGGACGGAGAAGGCUAUGUUAGCCGGGCGACGGUUGUCCCGGUUUAAGCAUGUAGGCUGGUUGUCCAGGCAAAUCCGGAUAAUCAAGGCUGAGGUGUGAUGACGAGGCACUACGGUGCUGAAGUAACAAAUGCCCUGCUUCCAGGAAAAGCCUCUAAGCAUCAGGUAACAUUAAAUCGUACCCCAAACCGACACAGGUGGUCAGGUAGAGAAUACCAAGGCGCUUGAGAGAACUCGGGUGAAGGAACUAGGCAAAAUGGUGCCGUAACUUCGGGAGAAGGCACGCUGGUGUGUAGGUGAAGUCCCUGCGGAUGGAGCUGAGACCAGUCGAAGAUACCAGCUGGCUGCAACUGUUUAUUAAAAACACAGCACUGUGCAAACACGAAAGUGGACGUAUACGGUGUGACGCCUGCCCGGUGCCGGAAGGUUAAUUGAUGGGGUUAUCCGUAAGGAGAAGCUCUUGAUCGAAGCCCCGGUAAACGGCGGCCGUAACUAUAACGGUCCUAAGGUAGCGAAAUUCCUUGUCGGGUAAGUUCCGACCUGCACGAAUGGCGUAAUGAUGGCCAGGCUGUCUCCACCCGAGACUCAGUGAAAUUGAACUCGCUGUGAAGAUGCAGUGUACCCGCGGCAAGACGGAAAGACCCCGUGAACCUUUACUAUAGCUUGACACUGAACAUUGAGCCUUGAUGUGUAGGAUAGGUGGGAGGCUUUGAAGCGUGGACGCCAGUCUGCGUGGAGCCAACCUUGAAAUACCACCCUUUAAUGUUUGAUGUUCUAACGUUGGCCCCUGACCGGGGUUGCGGACAGUGUCUGGUGGGUAGUUUGACUGGGGCGGUCUCCUCCCAAAGCGUAACGGAGGAGCACGAAGGUUAGCUAAUCCUGGUCGGACAUCAGGAGGUUAGUGCAAUGGCAUAAGCUAGCUUGACUGCGAGCGUGACGGCGCGAGCAGGUGCGAAAGCAGGUCAUAGUGAUCCGGUGGUUCUGAAUGGAAGGGCCAUCGCUCAACGGAUAAAAGGUACUCCGGGGAUAACAGGCUGAUACCGCCCAAGAGUUCAUAUCGACGGCGGUGUUUGGCACCUCGAUGUCGGCUCAUCACAUCCUGGGGCUGAAGUAGGUCCCAAGGGUAUGGCUGUUCGCCAUUUAAAGUGGUACGCGAGCUGGGUUUAGAACGUCGUGAGACAGUUCGGUCCCUAUCUGCCGUGGGCGCUGGAGAAUUGAGGGGGGCUGCUCCUAGUACGAGAGGACCGGAGUGGACGCAUCACUGGUGUUCGGGUUGUCAUGCCAAUGGCACUGCCCGGUAGCUAAAUGCGGAAGAGAUAAGUGCUGAAAGCAUCUAAGCACGAAACUUGCCCCGAGAUGAGUUCUCCCUGAGACUUUAAGUCUCCUGAAGGAACGUUGAAGACGACGACGUUGAUAGGCCGGGUGUGUAAGCGCAGCGAUGCGUUGAGCUAACCGGUACUAAUGAACCGUGAGGCUUAACCUU